rnacentral:lncRNA from 1 species
ACGCGAGCUGCGAGAGGAGCAUGAAUGUGAAGUGCGAACACCUGAGCUCUAGCCCUGGUGCUUCUAGAAUCACUGCCCCUCUCCAGGUCUCACAUUUUUCCUCUCUAUAAUGGUCACAUGCUACAUCAGUUUUCUUCAAGUCUAAUUUUGCCUUGUUUUGCAUUGUUAUUGGCCAAAAGUCAUUGUUCAAAAUGUAGCCUAAUACAGCAGAGUCACUGCUUAAAGCAGGAAUAUAGAGCCCAAAGCUAUGUCCUUGCCACACACUCUCUCACACCUCCCCUGUUGUCCCUGAGAAAGGUUAGUGGACUUUCUAAGGUUCUUUGGGACACAGCUUGAGGACAGCAAUGCCAGGUGAUUGGUGGCUCUGGCGGCCCUGACAGCCUCCCAGCUGUGGUUUUUAUGACCUGUGGCUUGGAUGAGUAACUCCUCCCUUGCCCUGGAUGAAGAAAGCUAUGGGACACAAGACUCGCAGCACUGAAAUGGGAAAGUUCCAGGAAAACUGAGCCGAACUGGUUACCCUGCCUGUGUCCUACCCAAACCAUUUCUCCACACUUUGGAGAAGGGCAAGGCCCUGCAUUAUGACAGCCAGGAAGAUGACAAUCAGUAGAGAACACCAAUGGGAAUGCGUCUCAUGCUCAACACACCUUGGAGAAGAAGCUCUUGGUCUGUAUCUUCCACAAGAACAUAGAGCUAUAGGUCCUAGCCUGAAGGCUGACUCACGCAUGCAUUCAAAAAAUGUUUUGGGCAUGCCUAGCAGGUGCCUGGGAGUGAGAGUCAAGGCAUUAAGACUUGUCAGAAGGCUCUGAAAAUAGGUCAGGAAUUUUAUUUCUCCCUUACUUUGGUUUUGUGAUCUUGGCUUGACCACUGUGGAACACCCUGAGGCCACAAAGAAUGGUCUGAGACCAUAACCUUGGCUGAACUACUAGGAAACAUCCUGAGACCAUGAAGAACCAUCUGAGGCCAUGACCUUGGGUUGACCACUGAGGAACAUCUUGAGACCAUGGAGCUGAAGGCCCCCAACCUGAAUGGUUCUUGAAGGACACAUCUACCUCCAAGAAAAAAUUAUAACCACCACACAAAGCUGUCCCACUGCCCAGCACAUUUUGCAUAACACAGACCUUGGACAGUUUUGCCACAUGGGGGGCACAAGUCACAGACAGCCUACCUCCCAGCCCUGCUGCAGUGACACCUGAACAAUUGCAUUAUUAUUUUCCGGGAUGUGUUCUCAGUGGCCUUGCAAGGGCUGGAGCCAGAUUAACUUAGCUGUCUGUCACAAAUUGGAACUGACGUGUCAUUCAUGUGAGAGCUGUACGUGAUAAAGAAAUAUUUCAUUUGGAUAAAACAAGUGCAAUCUGCAAUAUAAUUUUUUUGUCAAAGGAGACUCCUCAGUCUUCACUCGAGCUGUAAAUGGUGCUGGU